CUCUCGCCGUCGGGAUGGCGGAAGGCGGAAACCAGCGCCAUCUUUAAGGCGCGGCACACGCAGCUCUCCACAGAUGCCUUGUUGAAAGAGCCUUCAGAGGAUAAAGCUCCCAUCAUGGAAAGCAGAAGAAAAAAAUAUUACAGUCUUCAUGGUCUAUUUGAACCUCUGCUUCUAUUUGACUAUGCCUAAGCUCAAAUUUGCCUUUGGUUUGACUGCUUGAUUCCUUCAGACAGAAUCUCCGUUAUGAUCUAAAGUAGAUUAAAUUGUUUUUCUGUCCUUUGUAACUGAAAAAAGAAAAGAAACCCUAAUGAGUACUUGGAGUGAGUGGAGGAGCCAAGAGUGCUGGGUGUCUACAGAAGCUUAUGGUGAAGGAUCUGUAUAGAAGGUCGGCAAGGUGUUCAAGUGGAUCACUGAAGACUCUCUUAGCCUAAUCGUAGUGGUCAGGAGCUGACUUACCUUUCAGAAUAGACUCACAUAAAGAAUUGACUCAUGAUUUCCAACACAGUUAUAAGAAAGAUAGAUAAUUGUGAAGAGUUCAGCUCCAAUUCACAAUCUUAUAUGAUCUUCCAAACAUGACCAUUGGCAAUUAGAAGGCUUUGCUUGGCAGCCUCCUGGAGGGGACGUGCCCUUCCCACAUCAGACCUGGUGCACAGACCUUUCGGUGCAGCUGUCUGGAGGGAGAUGCAGCAAGGACUCAGCCUCCAGGCCAGCCGUGCUCUUCAGUGUAUCUGCACUCUUAGACAGGCAGCUCCAUCUGGAAGCCUCACUAGUGGAAGCCUUGGCAGAGGAUUAUCAGAAAAUGUGGGUGUACAAAGACUCAGCCAUCACCCAGGUUUGGGACAAUUCUAAAGGUCAAUCUCAGCUCCAAAACUGUCAUGGAAUCAUCUUGAGACCUCUACUGCAGAUUCAUCAAUUUCCCCCUCUGACCAAUUCUGCUUUCUCCCCUCCAUUCUUAUCUGUGUUGUUGCAAAAAGCUCUCCUCAAUAAACUCCCUACACAUAAA
ensembl:lncRNA